AGUGAACGCUGGCGGUAGGCCUAACACAUGCAAGUCGAACGGCAGCACAGUAAGAGCUUGCUCUUACGGGUGGCGAGUGGCGGACGGGUGAGGAAUACAUCGGAAUCUACUUUUUCGUGGGGGAUAACGUAGGGAAACUUACGCUAAUACCGCAUACGACCUACGGGUGAAAGCAGGGGAUCUUCGGACCUUGCGCGAUUGAAUGAGCCGAUGUCGGAUUAGCUAGUUGGCGGGGUAAAGGCCCACCAAGGCGACGAUCCGUAGCUGGUCUGAGAGGAUGAUCAGCCACACUGGAACUGAGACACGGUCCAGACUCCUACGGGAGGCAGCAGUGGGGAAUAUGGGAAAAUGGGCGAAAGCCUGAUCCAGCCAUACCGCGUGGGUGAAGAAGGCCUUCGGGUUGCAAAGCCCUUUUGUUGGGAAAGAAAAGCAGCAGGUUAAUACCCCGCUGUUCUGACGGUACCCAAAGAAUAAGCACCGGCUAACUUCGU
rnacentral:rRNA from 1 species